rnacentral:rRNA from 1 species
AGUACGAGAGGACCGGAGUGGACGAACCUCUGGUGUUCCGGUUGUCACGCCAGUGGCAUUGCCGGGUAGCUAUGUUCGGAAGGGAUAACCGCUGAAAGCAUCUAAGCGGGAAGCCUCCCUCAAGAUGAGAUCUCACUAAAUCUUCGGAUUUCUGUAGGGUCCUCGUAGACUACGAGGUUGAUAGGCGGGAUGUGUAAGCGCUGCGAGGCGUUGAGCUAACCCGUACUAAUUGCCCGUGUGGCUUGACCAU